rnacentral:rRNA from 1 species
AACAGGAUUAGAAACCCUGGUAGUCCACGCUGUAAACUAUGUCGCUAUGGAGGUUGUGCCCUUGAGGCGUGGCUUCCUGAGCUAACGCGUUAAAUCGAACGCCUGGGGAGUACGGCCGCAAGGUUAAAACUCAAAUGAAUUGACGGGGGCCAGAACAAGCGGUGGAUCAUGAUGUAUAAAUCGAUGCAACGCGAAGAACAUUACAUGGUCUUGACAUCAGCAGAAAUUAGCAG